UCAAAAUGGGGGGCCCGCUUACACAUGCAGUCGAACGAGAAAGUGGAGCAAUCCAUGAGUAAAGUGGCGUACGGGUGAGUAACACGUGGGUAAUCUACCUCUUGGUGGGGAAUAACCCUGGGAAGCCGGGGCUAAUACCGCAUAAGCUCGGAAGAGGAAGCCCGAAAGGGGCCGAGAGAGGAGCCCGCGGCCGAUUAGCUAGUUGGUGAGGUAAGAGCUCACCAAGGCGAUGAUCGGUAGCCGGCCUGAGAGGGCGAUCGGUCACACCGGAACUGAGACACGGUCCGGACUCCUACGGGAGGCAGCAGUGGGGAAUCUUGCGCAAUGGGCGCAAGCCUGAUGCAGCCAUGCCGCGUGUGUGAAGAAGGCCUUCGGGUUGUAAAGCACUUUCAGCGAGGAGGAAGGUGGUGAGCUUAAUACGCUCAUCAAUUGACGUUACUCGCAGAAGAAGCACCGGCUAACUCCGUGCCAGCAGCCGCGGUAAUACGUAGGUGGCAAGCGUUGUCCGGAAUUAUUGGGCGUAAAGCGCGCGCAGGCGGCUUCUUAAGUCUGAUGUGAAAUCUCGCGGCUCAACCGUGAGCGGUCAUUGGAAACUGGGGAGCUUGAGUACAGAAGAGGAGAGCGGAAUUCCACGUGUAGCGGUGAAAUGCGUAGAGAUGUGGAAGAACACCAGUGGCGAAGGCGGCUCUCUGGUCUGUAACUGACGCUGAGGCGCGAAAGCGUGGGUAGCGAACAGGAUUAGAUACCCUGGUAGUCCACGCCGUAAACUAUGAACGCUAGCCGUUGGCAGGCUUGCCUGUCAGUGGCGCGGCUAACGCAUUAAGCGUUCCGCCUGGGGAGUACGGCCGCAAGGUUGAAACUCAAAGGAAUUGACGGGGGCCCGCACAAGCGGUGGAGCAUGUGGUUUAAUUCGACGCAACGCGCAGAACCUUACCAGGGUUUGACAUCCUGUGCUCACCGGAGAAAUCCGGGUUUCCCCGCAAGAGGCGCAGAGACAGGUGCCGCAUGGCUGUCGUCAGCUCGUGUCGUGAGAUGUUGGGUUAAGUCCCGCAACGAGCGCACCCUCGCCUUUAGUGCCAGCAUUCAGUUGGGUCACUCCUAAGGUGACUGCUCGUG
rnacentral:rRNA from 1 species